UCUCUCCUCUCUCCUCUCUCCGCAACUUUCGCCUCCUCUCAGUCUCACUUCUCAUCCCUCUCAAACAGAAUUUUUUGUGUGUUACAGAACCCAAUAAAACAAUGUCGUCGACGGAAAAAAAUUCCCGCCGAUAACAAAGUGCGGCGAGUCGACGACGACUUCGUACGGUUCUAUCGCAGCAGAUCUGGACAGAACACCUUUGAUCUCCAGAAGCUCCGUCCCUUACUUCAUGCUCGUCGCCAUGAGUGGACCACAAGACAGUACCAUUGAACUUUGCUAAGGAACACCUUAAGAAUGAGGGUUCUGUCAUUCUUUUGAUUCCGAACAGAGGAUUUUGGUCUGUUAAAUUUGAAAUAAAGCACAAAAACUAUAGCAAAAGGAGAGCUGAAUUUAGUUGUGGUUGGAAAGUCUUUGCCAAGGACAAUUAUUUGAAAGUUGGUGAUGUCUGCAUUUUCGAGCUUCUUAAGAGAUCCGAAAAUGUAUUCAAGGUUUUCAUUGACUAUGCUGCUGAUUAUGCAUCCGACUAAAAUCUCAAGCUGGUGGAAUCAAAGCAAAGCCAAAAGGAGAAGUGGGAAAAGUUACUGAGUUGUUUUUUGAAUUAUGUCUGCAUAAUGGAGAACUUGCCAUGCUUUAAAACUCAAAACUAAAUAUGGUGAAUGAAUCUAUGAGUCAUGCUGAGUGUGUUGAGUUUGUGAAGAAACUCAAUUUGCCCUUAAUGGUUACUGGAGGCGGUGGAUACACAAAAGAGAACGUUGCUCGAUGUUGGGCUGUUGAAACUGGAGUUCUUCUAGACAGAGAGAGAGCUUCCAAAUGGUAUGUCAAGUCUUCUUCACUUUUAACUUUUAUUUCUUGGUUCAAAAUGUGGUCAACCUCAAUUUAGUUGUGGUAGGAAAAAAAUGUUGGGUUCUGUUCUAUUCAAAUUCUAUAAGAUUUUCUUUAUAAUUUUUCUUU